ACACCAAUGAACAGGUUUGACUACAAGGAGA
rnacentral:piRNA from 1 species